ensembl:lncRNA
AUGCGCUUGGGCAUACAUUUUAUUCUCUGCAAGGAAUGGGGGUCACUCGUCGGGUUCCCAUGGUUAUAUGGAGUCAUCAAGCUUUGUGGGAAUUCCAUGGCUGCAGAUGCAGAGAACUUUGGCUCUCACCUCAUCUUUACACAGGUCACUCUCUGGACUGGCGCUAUUAUGAAGCAGGCUCUAUCAAGCUGAUGUAUAUGGUCAUCUUUCAUUUGAGUUCUAGGUAAGAGUCGGCUCAUCUUUAAAGUCCACGUGAACUGGAGGUCGCUGCUGACUUUAUUUCAGUGUGGUGACGUAUUUCCAGCUGAAACGGAAUAUUGAAUAGAGGUCAUGGUUUUUGUUUGCACUUCUAGUCUCUGUCUUUCACUUAUCGCAAACUAAUGGCUGGAGGGGUGUGUUUAAGGAUAUUCUGCCCAUGCCGUCAAACUGAAUUCACUCAUUUGAAAAGGAAUGCCAUUCCACAGCGGAAGUAAAUGUUCAGAUUUUGAUUAAGGAUUACAAAGAAGAUUAUUUCUUUUUCUUUUUCAGCGGAUUAACUUGCACAGAUCAUUUACAUCAAUACUAGCCAUGUGUGCUAGUAAAGUCAAUUUUGAUUUCACACAGACCUUAAGUUAUAAUCGAGGCUUGUUUGGUCUUACCCGGCUGUUGCUGCCUUCACCUUACACAGACUGCUGAGGCACUUUGCAUAACUCUGCUAUGAUGGUCAUCAGGGACGGUGUCCAUUACAGUUAUGAAGUUUGGCCUAUUGUGGCCUUCACAUGUCACAACGUGUCAAUAUUAAAUUGAGUAUCUCUUUUUAUGGUCAUGUUGAUCUGGCUCAUUUUCUAUUUUUCUUUUGGGGGGGGGGGGAUAGGUUGCUCUGCAGUUUCUGGCAGUUAGAUGGAGUUCUAUCAAAAGUGCGCAGGAGUCUAGCCUAAAGAAUUGUAUCUGUGUAUAUGCUCUUAUGUCUGCUAGAACCCUAAUUCUACCUCUUAUCAAUUAACCUAAUCACCUUACCUUUCUUACUCAAUG